rnacentral:rRNA from 1 species
UACGGGGGGGGGGCAAGCGUUGUUCGGAAUUACUGGGCGUAAAGGGCUCGUAGGCGGCCAACUAAGUCGGAUGUGAAAUCCCCAAGCUUAACUUGGGAACUGCAUCCGAUACUGGAUGGCUUGAAUCCGGGAGAGGGAUGCAGAAUUCCAGGUGUAGCGGUGAAAUGCGUAGAUAUCUGGAGGAACACCAAUAGCGAAGGCAGCUCGCUGGGACGGUACUGACGCUAAGGCGCGAAAGCGUGGGGAGCGAACAGG